AUACUAGGGAAGGCAUCGAGCUUGAGGAAGAGGCCCCAUUCAUCUCCGUACCCCAGGCCCUGGUACACAGCAGGCAGCUCCAGGCGGGCACGCAUCUUUGUUGUGUUCUCUGCUGACUAUAUCCUCAGCACCUAGAACUGUGUCUGUCACCUAAUAGAUGCUCAAUAAACCUGCCAGUAAUUUCAGCAAAUGAAACGUGGAACACGUCAAGGCCAGAGGAUGGAAAAGGCUCCAGUUUUGAUAAAAGGAGGCCUGCUUGGCUUGGAAUCCUCUCUCCUGCUGGUUGGGAGAUGCAAAGAUGUUUCCAGAGAGGGGCUGAUGAAUUGAGGGGAAAGAAAUGAGCCCAGUAUGAGUCCCCUUUCAGGGCUGAGCGGGUAUAAAACCAAACAACUUGGAACCGCUCCAAGAGAGGGGAUUAAAGCAACAUGUUAUUCUGAGUGAUUGCUUAAUUUAUUGAGCUGCGGCUGGAUCUGUAAUGAAAUACAGCCCUUGUAACUGAUAACCUCCUGCUGCCAUUGAACUUCUACAAUUAAGGAAUAUUUUCUGAGUUUCUCUGGAACGGCUCUGAAUUUUUAGCCUCUGUGGUAGGGUGCUUCUGAACAUUUGUUUUCCAGGCAAUUUUUUUUUAGUAUUAGGCUGAUGUUAAUAAAUAAGCAGCAUUUUAUUGA
rnacentral:lncRNA from 1 species